rnacentral:rRNA from 1 species
AUUGAACGCUGGCGGCAUGCUUUACACAUGCAAGUCGAACGGCAGCGCGGGCUUCGGCCUGGCGGCGAGUGGCGAACGGGUGAGUAAUGCAUCGGAACGUGCCCCGUAGUGGGGGAUAGCCCGGCGAAAGCCGGAUUAAUACCGCAUACGACCCGAGGGUGAAAGCGGGGGACCGAAAGGCCUCGCGCUAUUUGAGCGGCCGAUGUCGGAUUAGCUAGUUGGUGGGGUAAAGGCUUACCAAGGCGACGAUCCGUAGCUGGUCUGAGAGGACGACCAGCCACACUGGGACUGAGACACGGCCCAGACUCCUACGGGAGGCAGCAGUGGGGAAUUUUGGACAAAGGGGGCAACCCUGAUCCAGCCAUGCCGCGUGCGGGAAGAAGGCCUUCGGGUUGUAAACCGCUUUUGUUCGGGAAGAAAUCCUGUGGGCUAAUACCCCGGGGGGAUGACGGUACCGGAAGAAUAAGCACCGGCUAACUACGUG